rnacentral:rRNA from 1 species
GAUGAACGCUGGCGGCGUGCCUAACACAUGCAAGUCGAACGGAAAGACGAUGAGCUUGUGCCCUUCACGUUGGCGGAGGGCGGGAGAGUAACGCGUGGAUCGCCUACUUCUCUUUCGGGGAUGAUAACGUAAGACGGGAUCUGAUACCAGAGCAUCUAUUGCACCGCAGGGUUCAAUGGAGAAUGACGGCUUUGGCGACUGUAAUAGCCGCUUCCGCGCCGCAUUAGCUAGUGGGUAGGUUCACAGCCUACCAAGGCAACGAUGCGUGGCCGAGCUGAGAGGGUGAUCGGCCACACUGGAACUGAGACACGGUCCAGACUCCUACGGGAGGCAGCAGUAGGGAAUCUUCCGCAAUGGGCGAAAGCCUGACGCAGCAAGGCCGCGUGAGUGAUGAAGGCCUUCGGGUCGUAAAGCCCUCUUAUUGGGUAAGAACAGAUGUGGAAUUAACCAUGGACGUCGUGACGGUACCGAAUCAAUAAGCACCGGCUAACUACGUG